CAAAUCUUUUUCCAAGAACAGCAGAAAAUGAUUGAGUACCAGCAGAGACCUGUGUCCUUCAAAGACGUGGUAGUAGGCUUCACUCAAGAGGAGUGGCACAGGCUGAAUCCUGCUCAGAGGGCACUGUACCGGGAUGUGAUGCUGGAGACCUACAGCAACCUUGUCUCAGUGGGUUAUGAAGGCACUAAACCAUAUGUGAUCCUCAAGCUGGAGCAGGAAGAAGCACCAUGGAUUUGUGAGGCAGCAUGCUCAGGCUGCCACUGUCAGGAAAACAUUUGUCAAGUUAAUGUCCAGAGGAAAAGACAAGACAUGAUUUUGAAACAAGGUGCAUUCAUCAGCAAGAAAACACUGCCCAAGGAAAGAAGCCAUGAAAGCAAUAAGUUUGGGAAAAUAUCACCUCUGAGCACUAAUCUUUUUCCUUCAAUUCAAAACCCUACUAACUGGGACCCCUGUGGAAAGAGUGCAAACCAUAAUUUAGAUUUUAUUGGUUUUAAGAGAAACUAUUCAAAAAAACAAGAUGAGUGCUGUGGAUGUGGGAAAUUGUUACAACAUACAAACCAUGAUAGAAGACCUAAUGGAGAAAAACUCUGGGAAUGCAGUCAUUGUGAGAAAGCUUUCAGCCACAACCCAGCACUUAUGUAUAAACCAGCAGUAACCAAUUCUCUUGUGUACAAACGUAAGAGGGUUCCACCUACAGAGAAACCCCAUGUCUGUAGCGAGUGUGGGAAAGCCUUCUGCUACAAGUCUGAAUUCAUUAGGCAUCAGAGAAGUCACACUGGGGAGAAGCCAUAUGGAUGCACUGACUGUGGGAAAGCCUUUUCACAUAAGUCAACCCUCAUUAAACAUCAGCGAAUUCACACUGGGGUAAGACCCUUUGAAUGUUUUUUCUGUGGGAAAGCCUUCACUCAGAAGUCACACCGCAGAGAACAUCAAAGAACACAUACUGGAGAGAGACCCUUUGUGUGCAGUGAAUGUGGGAAGUCAUUUGGUGAGAAGUCAUACCUCAAUGUACAUCGAAAAAUACACACAGGAGAAAGACCAUAUCGUUGCAGAGAAUGUGGGAAAGCCUUCAGCCAAAAGUCAUGCCUCAAUAAACACUGGAGAACUCAUACAGGAGAAAAACCUUAUGGAUGCAGUGAAUGUGGCAAAGCUUUUUAUCAGAAGCCAAACCUCAAUGUACACAAAGAAAUCCACACUGAGACAUCCCCUUUUAAGUGUAAUCAGUGUGGACAAGACUUCAGUCAUAAAUUUGACCUCAUCAGACAUGAGAGAAUUCAUGCUGGAGAGAAACCCUAUGAAUGUAAGGAAUGUGGAAAAGCUUUCAGCAGGAAGGAAAAUCUUAUCACACAUCAAAAAAUUCAUACUGGGGAAAAACCAUAUAAGUGUAAUGAAUGUGGAAAAGCUUUCAUUCAGAUGUCAAACCUUAUUAGACACCAGAGAAUUCAUACGGGGGAGAAACCUUAUGCAUGUAAGGAUUGUUGGAAAGCCUUCAGUCAGAAAUCAAAUCUCAUUGAACAUGAGAGAAUUCAUACUGGAGAAAAACCCUAUGAAUGUAAAGAAUGUGGAAAAUCCUUCAGCCAGAAGCAAAACCUUAUUGAGCAUGAGAAAAUUCAUACUGGGGAGAAACCUUAUGCAUGUAAUGAAUGUGGUAGAGCCUUUUCUCGAAUGUCAUCUGUUACUCUACACAUGAGAAGUCACACAGGGGAGAAACCCUAUAAAUGUAAUAAAUGUGGAAAAGCCUUCUCUCAAUGCUCAGUGUUUAUUAUACAUAUGAGAAGUCAUACAGGUGAGAAGCCUUAUGUGUGUAGUGAAUGUGGGAAAGCGUUUUCUCAAAGUUCAUCCCUUACUGUACAUAUGAGAAAUCAUACAGCCGAGAAACCUUAUGAAUGUAAUGAGUGUGGAAAAGCCUUCAGCAGGAAAGAAAAUCUCAUUACACAUCAGAAAAUUCAUACUGGAGAGAAACCAUAUGAAUGUAAUGAAUGUGGGAAAGCUUUUAUUCAGAUGUCAAACCUCAUUAGACACCAGAGAAUUCAUACUGGUGAGAAACCUUAUGCAUGUACAGUAUGUGGGAAAGCCUUUAGUCAGAAAUCAAAUCUCACUGAACAUGAGAAAAUUCAUACUGGAGAGAAACCCUAUCAUUGUAAUCAAUGUGGAAAAGCUUUCAGUCAGAGACAAAAUCUCCUUGAGCAUGAAAAAAUUCAUACUGGAGAAAAACCAUUUAAAUGUAAUGAAUGUGGUAAAGCCUUCUCUCGAAUCUCAUCCCUUACUCUUCAUGUGAGAAGUCAUACAGGGGAGAAACCAUAUGAAUGUAAUAAGUGUGGAAAAGCCUUCUCUCAAUGCUCAUUACUUAUUAUACAUAUGAGAAGUCAUACUGGUGAGAAACCUUUUGAAUGUAAUGAAUGUGGGAAAGCAUUCUCUCAAAGAGCAUCCCUUUCUAUACAUAAGAGAGGGCAUACAGGUGAGAAACGUCGAGUGCUUAUCCUCCUUCACCUUACCCGUGGCCUUCUCAGACCCCUGCUUCCUGAGCUCAAGACUGCCACCCUUCCUUCAGGUUCUCCUCUGCCACAUUCCCAGUCCCGGCCAAUUCUUGCUGCUUGGACCUGUCGGUUCGCCCAGAUCCGCAGAGGAUGCUCAGGCGAGAUUGGGCUGUCAGUACUGGCCUUCACUGAAGGCCAGGAACACGACGCGACACUGAGCGAAGACUUGUACCGGCCAGGCUCUGUGUCUGGAGGUCCGAGGUGUCUCUGCUGUGUGCCCUGCCUGGACAGAAUGUCCGUGCGAUACUCCCCGGACGGGGAUUGUGCGCCCGACCUCCAUUGCUCGGCGACCGGUGCUGGUGGGGCUGUGGUUAGUAGACUGAGAGAGGCUCUUUACGGACCAGUGUUAGAGCCCCAUGUAGCCGGCCGCGUCGCCGACUCUGCCUUUGGAGCUAGAACUGGAAAGUCACCUCCCUUUGUACCUUCUUGGUCAACGUUGAGUGGGGUCAGCGAGUGGGUGGGUUCUGGGGCAAUCUCAGACCCCGCCUGCGUUUCGAGCCUUUCUAGCCCCCAUUGGAUUCUGGAUCCCAGCCGAAACCGCCAACCGAAAUCGCCACUAGCUCUUCAGCAGGAAUCCAGAAAAGGAGAGAAAAGCCACUGUACAUCAAAAGUCAUGGCGGAGGGCUUCACGUUCAAAGAUGUGGCCAUUUACUUCUCUCAAAAGGAGUGGGAAUGCUUGCACUCUGCUCAGAAGGAUUUGUACCAAGAUGUAAUGUUGGAGAAUUAUAACAACCUGAUCUCACUUGGACUUUCUGAUUCUAAGCCAGAUGUGAUCUCUUUAUUGGAGCAGGGGAAGGAGCCCUGGAUGGUUAAGAGUCAGGAAACAAAAGAAUGGUGCCCAGAUUGGGAGUCCAGAAGAGUAACCAAGAAUUUAUUUCCAAAGGAGCACAGUUACGAAAUUAAAUCAUUGCACCUGGAGAUAAAAAGACUUACGAGCUCUGACCUUGAGUGCACUAGGGUCAGAAAUAACAGAGAAAUCAGAUGCCACUUGGAGAGACAACAGGAGGGGCAUUUCAGACAAGCCGUAAUAACCUCUGAAGAAAGGUCUGCUUCCAUUCAGUGCAUAGUUCAUACCAGAGCGAAAACCUAUGAAUGCAAGGGAUGUAAGGAAGCUUUCAGGUGCCAGUCACACCAUAUUCAACAUGAAAGAAGUCAUAAUAAGGAAAAAGACUCUAAAUGUGGAGAAUGUGGGAAAGCCUUUAAUAAUAGGUCAGACUUGAUUCAGCAUCAGAGAAUUCACACUAGUGAGAAACCUCAUAAAUGUAAGGAAUGUGGGAAAGCCUUUCAUUCUAACUCACAACUCCGUAAACAUCAAAAGAUCCACAUCGGUGAGAAACCCUAUAAAUGUAAGGAGUGUGGGAAGGCCUUUCCAUCUACCUCACAACUUAAUUUACAUCAGAGAAUUCAUACUGAUGAGAAAUACUAUGAAUGUAAGGAAUGUGGGAAAGCCUUUACCCGUCCCUCACAUCUUCUUCGACAUCAGAGAAUCCAUACCGGUGAGAAACCCCAUAAAUGUAAGGAAUGUGGGAAAGCAUUCCGUUACGACACGCAGCUUAGUCUUCAUCAGAUAAUUCAUACUGGUGAAAGACGCUAUGAAUGUAAGGAAUGUGGAAAGGUAUAUAGUUGUGCCUCACAACUGAGUCUACAUCAAAGAAUUCAUACUGGUGAGAAACCUCAUAAAUGUAAGGAAUGUGGGAAAGCGUUUAUCUCUGAUUCACAUCUUAUUCGACAUCAGAGUGUUCAUACUGGUGAGAAACCAUAUAAAUGUAAGGAAUGUGGAAAGGCCUUUCGUCGUGGCUCAGAACUUACUCGACAUCAGAGAGCUCACACUGGAGAGAAACCCUAUAAAUGUAAGGAAUGUAAAAUGGCCUUUACUUGUAGCACAGAACUUAUUCGACAUCAAAAAGUUCACACUGGUGAGAGACCCCAUAAAUGUAAGGAAUGUGGAAAGGCUUUUAUUCGAAAGUCAGAACUUACUCAUCACGAGAGAAGUCAUAGUGGUGAAAAGCCCUAUAAGUGUAAGGAAUGCGAGAAGGCCUUUGGUCGUGGCUCAGAACUUAAUCGACACCUGAAAAUUCAUACUGGUGAGAAACCUUACAAAUGUAAGCAAUGUGGGAAGGCCUUUAUUCGUGGCUCACACCUUAGUAAACAUCAAAGAAUUCAUACGGGAAAGAGGAAGAAACCCUUUCAGUGUCCUUACUGUGGGAAUAGCUUUAGAAGGAAGUCAUAUCUCAUUGAACAUCAACGAAUUCACACAGGUGAGAAACCUUAUGUUUGCAAUCAAUGUGGGAAAGCUUUCCGUCAAAAGACAGCCCUCACUCUACACGAGAAAACACAUAUAGAGGGGAAGCCCUACAUCUGUAUGGAUUGUGGGAAGUCCUUCCGCCAGAAGGCAACUCUCACUAGACAUCACAAAACACACACAGGGGAGAAAGCCUAUGAAUGUACUCAGUGUGGAAGUGCUUUUAGAAAGAAGUCAUACCUCAUUGAUCAUCAGAGAACUCACACAGGAGAGAAACCAUAUCAAUGUAAUGAGUGUGGGAAGGCAUUUAUCCAGAAGACAACUCUCACUGUACAUCAGAGAACUCACACAGGAGAGAAACCCUAUAUUUGCAGUGAAUGUGGGAAGUCCUUCUGCCAAAAGACAACCCUCACUCUCCAUCAAAGAAUUCACACUGGGGAAAAACCGUAUAUUUGUAAUGAAUGUGGGAAGUCCUUUCGCCAGAAGGCAAUCCUCACUGUUCAUCAGAGAAUACAUACAGGAGAGAAAUCCAAUGGAUGUUCUCAGUGUGGGAAAGCCUUUAGUAGGAAAUCAAACCUCAUUCGCCAUCAGAAAACUCACACAGGAGAGAAACCAUAUGAAUGUAAAGAAUGUGGGAAGUUCUUCACUUGUAAGUCAAACCUCAUUGUACAUCAAAAAACUCACAAGGGAGACAAACCAUAUACAUGCCCUGAAUGUGGGAAGUCCUUCUGCAGGAAGUCAGUAUUGAUUCUGCAUCAGGGAAUUCACACAGAGGAAAAACCCUAUCAGUGUCAUCAGUGUGGAAAUUCAUUUAGAAGGAAGUCCUAUCUCAUUGAUCAUCAGAGAACUCACACAGGAGAGAAACCCUUUGUUUGUAAUGAAUGUGGAAAGUCCUUCCGCCUAAAGACAGCCCUCACUGAUCAUCAGAGAACACAUACAGGGGAGAAAUCAUACGAAUGUCCACAGUGUAGGAAUGCCUUCAGAUUGAAGUCACACCUCAUUCGUCAUCAGAGAACUCAUACAGGAGAGAAACCAUAUGAGUGUAAUGACUGUGGGAAGUCCUUCCGCCAGAAGACAACACUCUCUUUACAUCAGAGAAUUCAUACAGGAGAGAAACCCUAUAUUUGUAAAGAAUGUGGGAAGUCCUUUCAUCAGAAGGCAAACCUUACUGUACAUCAGAGAACUCAUACAGGGGAAAAGCCCUAUAUUUGUAAUGAAUGUGGAAAAUCUUUCUCCCAGAAGACAACCCUCGCUCUUCAUGAGAAGACUCAUAAUGAGGAGAAACCCUAUAUUUGUAAUGAAUGUGGGAAGUCCUUCCGCCAGAAGACAACCCUUGUGGCACAUCAGAGAACACAUACAGGGGAAAAAUCCUAUGAAUGUCCUCACUGUGGGAAGGCCUUUAGGAUGAAGUCAUACCUCAUUGAUCAUCACAGAACUCACACAGGAGAGAAACCAUAUGAAUGUAAUGAAUGUGGGAAAUCCUUCAGUCAGAAGACAAAUCUGAAUCUACAUCAGAGAAUUCAUACAGGGGAGAAACCCUAUAUCUGUAAUGAAUGUGGGAAGUCCUUUCGCCAGAAAGCAACUCUCACUGUACAUCAGAAAAUACAUACAGGACAGAAAUCCUAUGAAUGCCCUCAGUGUGGGAAAGCCUUUAGCAGGAAAUCAUAUCUCAUUCAUCAUCAAAGAACUCAUACAGGAGAGAAACCAUAUAAAUGUAAUGAAUGUGGGAAGUGCUUCCGCCAGAAGACAAAUCUCAUCGUACAUCAGAGAACUCACACAGGGGAGAAACCCUAUAUUUGUAAUGAGUGUGGUAAGUCCUUCACUUCCAUUCAGAUGUCAAACCUCGUAAGUCACCAGCAAAUUCCUUUUGGAAAGAAACCUUAUUCAUGUAAGAAAUGUGGGAAAGCCUUUAGCCACAAACCAAAUAUCAUUGAUCAUGAGAAAAUCCAUUCUGGAGAGAAAUCCUACAAAUGUAAGGAAUGUGGAAAAUCCUUCGAUCAGAUAGAAAAUCUCAUUACCCAUCAGAAAAUUCAUACUAGUGAGAAACCAUUUGGAUGUAAUUACUGUGAGAAUGCUUUUAUUCAGAAGUCAAGCCUCAUUGAACACCAGAAAAUGCAUACUGGAGAAAAAUCCUAUACAUGUAAAGAAUGUGGGAAAACCUUCAGCAGCAAAUCAAAUCUCACAAAGCAUGAGAAAAUUCAUAUUGGAGAAAAACCUUUUAAAUGUAAUGAAUGUGGAACAGCCUUUAGCCAGAAGCAAUAUCUCAUUAAACAUCACAACAUUCAUACAGGAGAGAAACCCUUUGAGUGUAAUAAAUGUGGAAAAUUCUUCUCUCAAAAUACAUCACUUUUUGUACAGGUGAGAAUUCACACAGGUGAUAAGCCUUAUGAUUGUUAGGUAUGUGGGAAAGCCUUCUCACAAAGCUCAUCUCUUACUGUACAUACGAGAAGUCAUACAGAUGAGAAACCCUACGGAUGUAAUCAGUGCGGGAAAGCUUUCUGUUAAUUCUCAGCUCUUGCUUUACAUGUGAGAACACAUACAGGUGAGAAGCCUUAUGAAUGUAAUGAAUGUGGAAAAGCAUUUAGCCGUGGCUCACACCUUAUUCAGCAUCAGAAAACUCACACUGGUGAAAAACCCUUUGAAUGUAAGGAAUGUGGGAAGGCCUUUAGUCGUGCCUCACACCUUGUUCAACAUCAGAGAAUUCAUACAGGUGAGAAACCUUAUGACUGUAAGGAAUGUGGGAAGGCUUUUGGCCGUACUUCAGAACUCAUUCUACAUCAAAGACUUCAUACUGGUGUCAAACCCUAUGAAUGUAAAGAAUGUGGAAAGACCUUUAGACAGCAUUCACAACUUAUUCUGCAUCAAAGAACUCACACAGGUGAGAAACCCUAUGUAUGUAAAGACUGUGGGAAGGCUUUUAUUCGUGGCUCACAACUUACUGUUCAUCGGAGAAUUCAUACAGGUGCUAGACCCUAUCAAUGUAAAGAAUGUGGGAAAGCCUUUAGACAGCAUUCACAGCUUACUGUCCACCAGAGGAUUCAUACCGGUGAGAAACCCUAUGAGUGUAAGGAAUGUGGGAAGGGCUUUAUUCAUAGCUCAGAAGUUACUCGACAUCAAAGAAUUCAUUCUGGGGAGAAACCCUACGAAUGUAAGGAAUGUGGGAAGGCCUUUAGACAGCACGCACAGCUUACACGACAUCAGAGAGUUCAUACUGGUGACAGACCUUAUGAAUGUAAGGACUGUGGGAAGGCAUUUAGUCGUAGUUCAUACCUUAUUCAACAUCAGAGAAUUCAUACAGGUGACAAACCCUAUGAAUGUAAGGAAUGUGGGAAAGCCUUUAUUCGUGUUUCACAACUGACCCAUCAUCAGCGAAUUCAUACUUGUGAGAAACCCUAUCAAUGUAGGGAAUGUGGAAUGGCCUUUAUUCGUAGUUCACAACUUACUGAACAUCAGAGAAUUCAUCCUGGGAUCAAACCUUAUGAAUGUAGAGAAUGUGGGCAGGCCUUUAUUCUUGGCUCACAGCUCAUUGAACACUAUAGAAUCCAUACUGGUUAGAAAGCCUUGAACAUUAGGGGUGUAGGAGCCUUUAUGUGGCAUUCACACCUGACUCAAUAUUAGAUAAUGUGUAUGUAAUGUAAUUAAUGUGAAAACCUUCACUUGUCACUUCCAUUAUGGAACAUCGGAUAACUCAUAGCAGAAGAAAAUUCAAUAAAUGUGGGAA